AGUAUAUUCUGGAUUUCCUGUUUCUGUUGAGGAUAAGCAGUUAGGACCACAUAGUGGCCUCUCCUGGGCAUAACAUUUUAUUCAUUUACAACUACAAGUGUUCUGGCAUCUCGUCGAUAUCGAUGAUUCCUCAAGAUAGACCGCAUGCUACAAGAAAAUGGAAGAAGACUCUAAGUAAGGGCUAAGACAUAGCUUAACAUUAUCCUGGGGCUGAUCCCUGGCACCACCAAAACCAAAUGCCAAACCACACUGAAACAAAUACAUAAUUAAAAGAUGGACCCUAUCAAAUCUAAUAAACUCCUAGAAUCAA
rnacentral:lncRNA from 1 species